rnacentral:snRNA from 1 species
AGCUUUGCGCAGUGACAGUAUCGUAGCCAAUGAGGUUUAUCCGAGGCGCGAUUAUUGCUAAUUGAAACUUCCUAAACAUUUAAAAAUAAUUUCUCUAGUGAAAAUUA